AUGAAUGUGAAUUUAUGUUGUGUGAGUUUUCACACUUGACCAAAACUCAAUUUUUUUACUCAAUCCCUCCAUCGACCAAGAAAACUUUCAUUUUGCCCGCCCAUUUUUGGGCCAAAAAUUAAAUUUCCCCCUUUUCACACUCUCUUACCACUGAAUACUACUCUUGUUCUCUCAGACCCAGUCCUCUGACCUCUGUCUCAGCCCCGUACUCCCCUUGAUACAAAACUAAAAUCCCAGGGACCAGGCCUCCCACCCUAGGCUCACCUCCCCAUCGCUCCUCCUCACCGCGCUAACGGCUAUCUUCUCACGCAUAUCUGCUAAGGCCAAGCCGGCUUCUACCCAUGUUUACAGAGAAAGCCAGCCAUGGUCGCCGAAGCACCACGGUCGAAGCUCCAAUCCCCGAUCGAUAUCAACGGUCCUCUGCCGCUACUCCCCGCCGACUCCUCCAGCGUUGUGGAGAAGGAAGAAGACGAAUUUCCUGAUGGAAUGUUCCUUAUAUAAAAACCCCUCACUCACUCUCUCCUCUAUGACUCUCUCUCUUUGAGUGUGCUAAAUGUGCUCGUUGGCUGCCAGAUGAUAAUGGCUAUCCAAAAGCUAGCCAUAUAUCAGUUGAAAAGCUAUCUAACUUAGCCGAGCCCUGCAGUUCAUUAAUUUGAUCCAAGAAGCCAAGAUACGAAGCAAAAAUCUUGUUAAGUUUUUGGAAUCUCAUAAUCAGCUUGAGUACUGGAUGGAGUGGGCUAGGUUUUUAAUUUCAAUUGCAAAAAUCUGCAGAUCUUGGCUGUUGCUAAGGUAGGAAGUGCUCAAUUUUCCAAAUAUGCAACCUAUUCUAUGUUUCAAUAAUUCCUACCUCCAGCUUAUGACUUUAUGUUUCUCUUAUUGGAUUCUUGUUCUUUGACCUAUCAUUUUGUUACAUACGUGGUCAAUGAAAAAGAUCACCGUCAGUUCUAACUCUACCUUCUCCAGAAGGUAAUUGCUGUUGCUUAGCUCAUCAUUUAUUUUUACAGAUCUGUUAGUAUUAGUCGAGUCCAAUAUGUGCAUAUGGUUUAGUUCAAAGUUGGAAAUAGAUUUUUACAGAUCUCUAUGACUCUUUGCAAAGAUUUAUUAUUUGUUUUUGCAUUAGCUCACUAUAAAAUUGGCUAAUCAAAUUGUGCCAAUUGAAGUUAUAAACUUGCUUAGUAAAUGUUGCGUUGUUACUGAUUAGUUUUUCUUAUGUGGUUACUACUGCAUUUAGUAUGAGGUACUUCUUGCUCAUGAAGUCAUGUUUUUGUUUUUUUUGUUUUUUUUUCAUUGUGUAAUGAGAAUUUGAGGCCUAUUGAUUUAUUGUUUGUGUUCUGUUAAUUUAGUGGGAUUAGAAGUCAAAACUGUUAUCACAAGGAAGGGCAUCAGGUGUCAUGUACAUAUAGGGAUACUCUGUAUAUGCUGAUAUUUUGAGCCAUCCAGAUUGUUGUGUCACAGAUACCAGAUUUCCAUAACAUGCAUGUAAUGGCUUUCAGUUAUUGCAGCAAUCAUGUCCUUUGCCAAAGUAAUAGAUUUGGUCAACAACCUUGGUACCAUUGCAAGGUCUGGCACCAAGAAAUUCAUGGAAGCCUUGGCUACUAGAUCUGAUGUUAGCAUGAUUGGUCAGUUUGGUGUUGGAUUCUACUUUGCAUAUCAUGUUGUUGAGAAGGAAGAGGAAGUUGAUGAAGAGAAGGAAGUGGUCAUGUUUCUGGCCUUGAUUUUUUUGACAUUUAUGUUUAGGCAGGGUUAGUAUGUUCAUGUUAAUGUUGGGAUAUGAAUACUGCUGAUGGAAUUUGUAUGUUUUGGAAUCAAUGGAAAGUUUUUGGAAUCAAUGUUGGAUGUGUUUGUGGAUAUUUUGAUCAAUAGGUUUUUGUUA